rnacentral:rRNA from 1 species
AUGCAAACAUUCAUGCUCGAGUAAGGCGGGACACGUGAAAUCCUGUCUGAACAUGGGGGGACCACCCUCCAAGCCUAAGUACUCCUCAGCGACCGAUAGUGAACCAGUACCGUGAGGGAAAUCAAGUGGGGAGCUGCGAAGAAGCUUUGAUCCACGGAUUUCCGAAUGGGGAAACCCACCUUCGAUAGCCGAAACUCUAAGCUCAUGAUGACGCAAGUCGUCGUGGGUUUGGAUUUUCGGUUAUCAAGUGAAGGUAUGAGACUUCUGAAUACAUAGGAGGUUUCAAGCAAACCCAGGGAACUGAAACAUCUAAGUACCUGGAGGAAAGGACAUCAACAGAGACUCCGUUAGUAGUGGCGAGCGAACGCGGACCAGGCCAGUCAUGAAUGUGAGACAACCAGAACCUGUCAGGAAAGCAGGGCCUCAGAGGGUGAUAGCCCCGUAUGGGUA